GAUGAAGAACGUAGCGAAAUGCGAUACGUAGUGUGAAUUGCAGAAUUCAGUGAAUCAUCGAAUCUUUGAACGCACAUUGCGCCCGCCAGUAUUCUGGCGGGCAUGCCUGUUCGAGCGUCAUUUCAACCCUCAAGCACAGCUUGGUGUUGGGACUCGCGUUAAUUCGCGUUCCUCAAAUUGAUUGGCGGUCACGUCGAGCUUCCAUAGCGUAGUAGUAAAACCCUCGUUACUGGUAAUCGUCGCGGCCACGCCGUUAAACCCCAACUUCUGAAUGUUGACCUCGGAUCAGGUAGGAAUACCCGCUGAACUUAAGCAUAUCAAUAAGCGGAGGA
rnacentral:misc_RNA from 1 species